AUAUUGAACAUAUAUAUAUAUAUAUAUGAAUUUGUACCUAAAGUUUCCCAAAGUUUUCAAACUUUGACUGAGCUUGAUUUAAUAAAUUGAUUUUCCGCCUAAGGCUUAAAAAAAGAUUAAUAUUUGCUUGGAAGGAGAAAAAAAAAAAAAAAAACCUAGGUCGUUUUGGAAUUUCAAAUUGCAAUUAGCAAACCCUCCCCCCCCUUGAUCUUAAACCCUAACUAACAAAAGAAAGAACAGCAAAAAUCCUUCCUUCAUCAUAAUCCAAAAAUGGCGCUCAGAGUUCUGGGUACCAUUCGCUACAACUCCUCUCUCUUCUUCUCUCACCUUCACUGUCACCAAACUCCAUCACAGUACCGUUCGAUUUUUGCCACGUCGCACCUUGAUAUCUCAUGGAUGGACUCGAUUAAAGGGGUUUUCACCGGCAAAAAACCCACCUCUGAUUCGGUUUCUACCGAGGAGAAAUUCACCCUUUACAGUUUUGCUGAUGAGUUGGGUAAGGCGAGGAAGUUGGGAUCUUUGAAGCAGUAUGUAGUUGGUCGGAGCAGUGAAGCGACGUUUGCUGAUGCUUUUGCGAAGCAGGAAGCAAUUCUUCGAUAUCUUGCCUACUUUGAUCCAAAUGGAGAGAAUCUCCAAAUCAGUCAAAAACAAGAAGCAGCAAAGCAGUGCAAGUGUACGAUAGCUGAUGUUGAAAAUACUUUGGCAAAAUAUACGUGGGCUAAAGAAGCUCAGUAUAAACUACAGAAGUUAAAGGAAGAGGGAAAACCAAUGCCAAAGACCAUGGCCGAGGUCCAAAAAUUGAUGGGUUCAACACCUCUCGAUCGUGCUAAAUCAAAUAUGGCUCAGACUGGUCAGAUUAGUCGGAAUGCAUUUUGUCCAUGUGGUUCCAAAAAGAGAUACAAAAGGUGCUUCUUCAUCGACUAUCACUUACACUUUUUUUUUCUUUUUUUCGAAUUAAGAUUCAUCAGUCGGCCUUCAUUUACAAGACACUGACUGUUUUUUGCAUGAAUUGUGGAUGAGGAUCCUUUAUUGGGUUCAGAAUUUCAGACCAGAGAUACCGUAGUCGGCAGUCCUAUACAAGGCAUGAUAAAUCUAUCCCUGAAGUCAUAUAGGUUUGGGAUUUUCUUGUCCAAAUUUGGGAGACAGAUGCAUGAAAAUAUUCCAGCUAUUGAUGCUUUUAAGUGUUUAUUUCAGGGAAGAAAAAUCAUAUCAGAUCAUUAGAAAUCAGAUCAGAUCAUGAAGUUAAGAUACAUUGUUACUUUCAUAUAUAAAUUCUUAUAAAAAAAAUUAGGUUUGAUCUGAAAAGAUAAGACAACAUCAAAUUAAAAGACAAUCAUAUCAAAGCAGGUGAACUCAAUGCCUGAAGUGGGGAUAGUUUUCCCAAGUCCUAAAUAGUACAAAUCUUGUAGAUUUGGGAUGAAUCUCCCCUAUACUAUCACAGACUAAACUGGAUGCACGGUUUCUUCAUUGUUGAAUUCAUGUCACAUGUUUUGAGAACAAUUAUAUCUGGUAGUUAUAUCUGUGGCCUUGCUUGCAAGCUGCAAGAUUGUUGCAGAAUUUUACGAUUCCAUAAACAAUGUACUGAAAUGCAUCCCAUAGUAAUACCCGUGUUUUACUUAUGGCUUUUGUGAAGGUGCUGUGGAAAAGACAAGUAGCUGGCUUACAGAGAGGAUUAUUCCAAAUAUGCUCCAUCAACUGAUCAUUGUGUUUGGAGGAAAUAAUUAGUACUCAACACAAAUCACAUGACUUGAUUACUUUCUUGUUUCACUGCAAUUAGGCGCCGGAACUUCCGCAUAUGCACAGAGAACUUGUAUACUCGGUGCUAUGGUGUUGUUGGAGGAAAGACUUGACUACACAUGUUGAUUGUGUAAUUCAUAGAAAAACUCUAUUUAAUCUCCAACAUAGAUAAUACAAGCAUACCACAGUUCAGAUGUUCAAUUCAAUUUGUUGAAUUUGCAAUUUCAUAUAUUGUAAUAUACUGUUGCGCAAUAUCUAUGGUGCAAUCAAAUUAUAUCUUUAACAAGCAUGGUAUGACACUUUACGAUUGAAGUUGUUAAAAUACGCAAUCGAAAAUAAUCGGGUAACUAGUUUUUUGUUUCUACAUCUACAAAUCUAAGCGAAGGAAGCAUAAACCUAAGGAACAAAAGGAACCAUAUAUGUCUGCAAGCAAUUACUUUCAUGCAUCUGUUGAAUAUCAUUCCUGGGAACCUUAUCCAAUCUCCACACAGCAAGCAAGAAGGCACUUUACAUUUUCUAGUAUACGAUAAAAAAAACUGCUUUCAGAUUAUCUGGUAUACCUUUUCUGUAUCUACGAAGACUAAGAUACUAGACCAGUAAAGCUGAACUUCCCAAUUGUUCCUGCAAGUACAAUGUAUGGCCUGAACUCUGAAGACGCGCCUGAGCUUCAGGUUGCAGGGCCAAUUGAUCAUGGAUAAACCCUCCUUGCCUACACAAAUGAACCCCUGUGUCUUGAUUGAGUAAAUUUUCCUUCUUGUCAACUCCAAUAGAUCAACAGCGGUUCAAUUUGUCUUUGGGGAAGUUUGACUGAUGAAAGUGGCUAUGAGUUGAAGAGGAGCUCAACCGCGGUUCAAUUCGUCAUCUAGUUGUUACAUCUUCCGGUUGUUUGCAAGUACCAUAGUUGGUCGAUAAGAAGGAUGCUAAAUUCACAAAGAUGAGUAUUUCAUGCUUCAUCAUAUGCUUCAUG